rnacentral:rRNA from 1 species
GACGGAGGAUGCAAGUGUUAUCCGGAGUUACUGGGCGUAAAGGGCGUGUAGGUGGUUUCGUAAGUCUGGCGUGAAAUUUCUCGGCUUAACCGAGGCAGGUCGUCGGAUACUGCGGGACUUGAGGACGGUAGAGGCGUGUGGAAUUCCGGGUGUAGUGGUGAAAUGCGUAGAGAUCCGGAGGAACACCAGUGGCGAAGGCGACACGCUGGGCCGUACCUGACACUGAUGCGCGACAGCAUGGGGAGCAAAGCAGG